rnacentral:rRNA from 1 species
CCCAUUGAUUAAUAAUAUUAAAAGGCUGCGGUAUUUUAACUGUACGAAGGUAGCAUAAUCAUUUGUCUUUUAAUUGAAGGCUCGUAUGAAUGGUUUGAUGAAAUAUAAACUUUCUUUUAAUUAUUUUUUUGAAUUUAAUAUUUUAGUUAAAAAGCUAAAAUAUUUUUAUAGGACGAGAAGACCCUAUAGAAGUUUACUAAUUUCAUAAAAUUAUAUAUUUUGAUUUUAAAUUAUUUUUUUAAAAGAAUGAGUUUUAUUGGGGUGAUAUUAAAAUUAAAUUAACUUUUAAUUAAUCUUUUCAUUGAUUUAUGUUUUUUUUGAUCCAAAAUUUUUGAUUAAAAGAUUAACUUACCUUAGGGAUAACAGCGUAAUUUAUUUGGAGAGUUCUUAUCGAUGAAUAAGUUUGCGAC